AAUAGAUACCCCGGUAGUCCACGCCGUAAACGAUGGAUACUAGCUGUUCGGAGUAAUCUGAGUGGCUAAGCGAAAGUGAUAAGUAUCCCACCUGGGGAGUACGUUCGCAAGAACGAAACUCAAAGGAAUUGACGGGGGCCCGCACAAGCGGUGGAGCAUGUGGUUUAAUUCGAUGAUACGCGAGGAACCUUACCAGGGCUUAAAUGUAGAUUGACAGGUUUAGAGAUAGACUUUUCUUCGGACAAUUUACAAGGUGCUGCAUGGUUGUCGUCAGCUCGUGCCGUGAGGUGUCAGGUUAAGUCCUAUAACGAGCGCAACCCCUGUUGUUAGUUGCCAGCGAGUAAUGUCGGGAACUCUAACAAGACUGCCAGUGCAAACUGUGAGGAAGGUGGGGAUGACGUCAAAUCAUCACGGCCCUUACGUCCUGGGCUACACACGUGCUACAAUGGUAGGGACAGAGAGCAGCCACUUCGCGAGAAGGAGCGAAUCUAUAAACCCUAUCACAGUUCGGAUCGGAGUCUGCAACUCGAC
rnacentral:rRNA from 1 species